rnacentral:lncRNA from 1 species
UAAAUAAUGUAUGUAUGUAUAUGUAUUAAAUAGCUGUAGAUCGGUCCAUCCAUGUAUAGAUAACUCCUAAGAAUUGAUCUCUCUCUGUCUUCAGUUAGGAAAAAGGUUGAUUUGAUGCAUGAGCCAAAGAGUGACUUUAGGAGCUGGAAAAUAAACAGAACCUUAAAGCUAUGUUUAGUUAAAAUGUCUAGUCAGCAUAGCAAUGAGGAAAUACUUCAAAGCAAUUCUCCCCUUUAUACAGCAUUUUGACUCUUUACAUUUAUUUGUUAUUUUUAAUCCGGUGGUGAUUUCUUCACCAAGCUGGGCUUCCUUCUUCAGAGAUGGGGCCUUGAAAAUUGCGCCUGCCAACACAGGGCUUUGUCAGUGCUAGGUGGGCUCCCUGGAGCACCCCCCCACCCAUGCCACAUAAUACACACUGGCCCGUACACCAUCACCCCACGGAGUAAGUCUCUGAUGUUGGGGCCACAAUGAAGAAAGCCCCAGCCCGCAAGACCCCUUUCUUCUGCAGGGUCUGGGCCGAGGCCCUGUAGCUACAGUCCCAUCUUCAAGGGCCUAAGAGACAGGCUGCUUUGGCCUCAGGGCCCUGGCCGAAAACCACUGCAGCCAUAGGAUGCUGACCCUCCUGAGUCACCCACAACCAGGAUUCCAUCUUCUAAGUGAGGGAGGUAGCGUUGACCAAGGUGCAGGGCUUUCCGUCCUGCCGGCUUCAUGCCGAGUAUGUCUAGCCAGUAAGGAGGAAUGGGGGCUCCUUUUUGUUUGUUUGUUUUCUCCUGAGAUAUAACUCACAUGCCAUAAGUUCUACCAUUAAAAAGUGUACAAUUCAGUGGGAUUUAUUAUAUUCACGAAAUUGUGCAACCAUCACCAUGAUCUAAUCCCAGGACAUUGUUUUCCUUUUUGUCAUUCACAUUUUUGGACGCGAUCCAUUGGUAGGUUGACUGGGAAGCAGGACUCCUCGGGUCUCUGUGGUUAAAUUAAGACCUGAAUGCCUCCUGGGUGCCCUGUUUCACCGCUGGGUCUGGGGACGCAGGUGCAGCGCCCCGCGGGGGGCAGAAGUUGAGGCUUGUCCACGCUACCUCCGUUGCUCUCCGGCUUGUGAGUCAGGGGCGUAUGUAUGUCCACGUGCUGGAUGGGUUCUAGAGGAAACACAGAUGGGCUGUGCACCUGGCAGGGCUGGGGAGAGACGAGACAGACUUUGGCACAGAGAGAGGCCUUUGUAAAACAGUCCUCACGCACACAAAAAUGCUUAAAGAAAAAAAAAUGAGGCCUGGAUGUGGUUUGGCUUCUCUGGAUGGAAAAGUGGAUAGGAAUCUGGUUCUUUCAGUUCUGUUUGCCAAAGUCUGGUGUCUCCAAAUGCAUUCAUUUACCUUUUUAGCUGUCCAGGUCAAGGCAUUUUGGUGGCUCUGAAAGGAAAGCAAGAGGAAAGGACGAAGGAGGGCAGAGGCUCUCGGACGUGAACGCUGCCAGGUGUCUACACACAUGGAGCAGAGAACCCAAGCUUCCUCAGGGCCCAGUGCCCCAGAGUUUCCUUAGAUGAGCUGGUGAAUGCCUGAAAGUGCCCCGUGUGUGCAGACGCUCUCUCGAGCGCAGUCCUUACAAUUGCCCUGGGGGGUGGGGGGUGGUCAUUCAUUCAUUCCAUAUUAUUUAUUGAAUCCAUACCAUGAGCCUGACCGCUGUCUGCACACAUGAGGACACCGGGGCCUGGAGAGGCUAAGCAAUUUGCCAAAUUGAGGCAAGAUGGCAGGUGCUUAAAGAGUGAGGCUCGGGGAUCUGAAAGGCAUGGGUCUGGGUCCUGGUUCCACCUCUCUCUCCUCCUUGUGAUGGCAGCCAAGUUUCUGAGCCUCCAUUUCCUCAUCUGUACAUGGGGCAGUGCUAGGACAUCUCCCAGGACUGUUUUGAGGAUUGGGUGAGAUUCCCUGGGCAGGGUUUAGGAUGAUGGCAGGCACACAGGGUGCUCAGGGCAAGUUAGCUGUUAUUAUUAUUACUGCCCAAGGUCACACAGUGAGCCAGGUUUAGAACCUGCUUUUCCCUUCCCUCGCCAUGUGCUGCCUCCAGAGCCACCUGCCUCACUUAAUCCUCCUGAGUCUUUGAGGAUCUUCGAAGGCUUUCUCCACCCCAUCUACCCUGUGGUGAUGGCCACCCCGGGAGGCAAGGGUCGGUGGGGAAUUGUCCCCUCCCCUGCACUGCUGGUGGUGGGGAAAGGUAGGCCUGACCUGCAGCCAUCCGCCUGUACCUGGACAUUCUCACCUGCCGGCUGGCUCUCUCCUUCUCUAGGACUGUUCUAGAAUCCCUGGAAAAGUCUGGGAAACACGAGCUCCACACAGAUUCAUCCCUGUGAGCUUCGGGAUCCUAAUGUGUCAGAUGCGGCAGCUCACACCUGGCCUCCACUCGCUCCCUCCGGUGUGCCCAAAUGGGAUUACACAUCUGGCAACAGCCCUUUCCAGUCCUCCUCUCAGGACCGUUUUCUCUCAGUGCAGGACGAAUGAGUUUCCGCUCUCCCUGCAGGGAGCCCUUGCCUCCUGAGGCCAAGGAGGCCUUCGCCCUUCAGUUCUGUCCGUGUGGAGGAGACCGUGCCUGCCGGGUCGCCGGCGCAUCCCGCAGACUCCCGCGAGUGUGUGUAGGUGUGCGUCUGCGAGGAGGGUCUGCUCCUGAUGAAGCGGUUUCUGUCCUACAACAACCCCGAGGGCACAAACACCUGGAGCAGAGGGAGACCCGGGGACUCCUUGCCCCAUCGUACCUGGGCGCUGCGGGCUGCGUGGUGGUUUGUCUCCCAAAGGUCCCGAAGUCCCGACCAGGUCGGACUGGGUGGGAUCUGUGAUGCUUGGGGGCGGGAUGACGGCUGGAGACCCCUCUCCGCACAGCGGGGCGGGGGGCGGGGUCUGCAGGGCCGCCCCUGCACGUGCGUCCCCACCAAACCCGAGGGCGCCCGGCUCCACGCGCACGGUAGCGCGGAAACGGCGAGAAAUGGGAGGUGCGCAUCUCCCGCGCUGCCGGGUGCCUUCCUGCGACUUCAAGUUUGGGACCCGCGUCCGCGUUUUUGUUUCCGGGAACCUUUAGGCGGGUGCGGGGCGCUUCGCCAGGGCCCUGCCCAGCUCACGGACCCCGCCUGGAGCACCCGGCUCCCCAGCGCCGCGCCUCGGCCGUGCCCCACGCCUGCUCCUGCGCCCCGGGCCGCACGGAACGGUGUCACCCCAGCGGCCCGCAGCGCCGGAACUUGGGGGCGCGGUGAGUGGGGGCGGGGCGCCGGGCCGGCAGGCGGUGGCCGCGUGGGGUGCCCGUUUCUGGCACUAGAAGUCCUUUCUCAUCUCCUUGAAUCUGGGGCUGCGUGGGACCUUUGAGCUCUCCAGGCUGACAAUGUCGUGGAGACGACAGGUCCAGACCCGGGACACGUCCGUCACCCGCGCCCGGGACGCAGGUUUCUUCUUCCCUGUUCCCGGGGAGAGGCCCGGGGGCUGGGCGUCGCGGCGAGCGUCCCCGUGGAUUCCGUUUGUUUUCUUACAGGACCCCCUCGGCCCGCCUGGGCUUCGGUCCCGCCGCGGACAGGCGAGGAGCCUGCGCAAGAGUCGCGAUGGCCGUGGAGCCCCGGACAUCGGCUCUGGGAGGCGCGCCCCGGGACUCGGCGGGGGGCGGAGGCGAGGGGCGCUGCGCAAAGUCGGCGCUCUGGCCAGGGAAGCGCCAGCCCGGGCAGGCGGCGGCGGUGGAGGGGCACGGGGCCCGGACCCUGUGCCCGGGAAACCUGCUCCACGGCCAGGCGCGCGCCAUUGCCCUGCAGCGCGCCCCGACGCGGCGGCCCUGGCCUCCGGCAGUGAGCACACCCCAUCCCCCGACUGACCGCGCAGAUCUGGGGGGAUUUCGAGAUGUUGCGGGAGUCUUGCAGCCAAGCCCCGGGAAGGAGGGGGCUGGAAGCCCGCGCGACCUGCUCGUCCGGUCCUGGGUGAGCGCAGAGUCGCUAGGAGGAUGGUGUGAGACGCCUCAUUUGUUCACAGAUACUCCUGGAUCCACCCCAUGUUCAAGGUUCUGCAACAGUGGGCCAGACAGACCACUGCUGCCCUCCUGGACUUUCCAGUCCAGUCACGACAACGGAAGCCCAGCUCAUCAGUUAACCCCCAGAGCCGGCAGCCUUCGCAGAGUGCCA